AUUGAAACGGACAAUUGUGUUCGAGCCUCUCCCGAGCCAAUGACGUGUACGAAACUAUAGGCGGCGUGAUAGUGAUAACGCGCUAAAAGUCUUAUAUUCCCGUUCCAAACCCGGCCUUUAUAGGCGCUCAGACCGUGCCCUGAGGACCAGUGUCAUUGCUACAGUGUUGUCCGGCCGCGCCACCAGCAGACUGACGGCAAAUAAACCUGGGGUACCAGAACAUGGAUGGUGGAUCACCGGCUGCUGCUGCCACAAGAGCCGCCGAGGCCGUGGAUCACUCCUCCGCCGCUUGUCUCCGUCGCCUGCGUCUGAUAAAUGGUUUUAGAUCUCAUGGAUGCCUCUCAAGAUCCUUACCUUUCCUUCAUAGUCCUCAAGCACAUCUCCAGUGGGCUCCAGUGGUUGGCUGACUCAUCUGCACCCAUCACCUUUGGGAUACUAGAAGCUUAGCACCAUACCUUACAUGACCCCAUCAAAAUUCCAAUGAGAACAAGAACUAAUGAAAAAGAUCACAAAUAUAAGAACAUAAGGCCACUUCCAACACAGCACUUUACCCUGGAGACAGGAGGAAACUACUUUAGGUAGUGGAUGGGCAUGAGAUUCAACAUGGCUGCUAUCAUGAUUGAGUGGAGUAAGUGCAAAUGCCAUUAUUGGAAUUUCACUGCAAAAUUACAUUUGUGAGACAAAUUCACGUUUGUAUGUUUUUUUGCUGCAAUCUGUGCAGUGUCUGGAGGACAUUUGUUUAAGUAAGUAUAUAUAUGACUAGGUUAAAUCUGUCGGUUUUUAAGUGUCCUUGGGAGUUAUGGUAGUUCAGAUUUCAUUAGGGUAGAUUAAUGUUCUUGAGGGGAAGUCCAGGGAAGGCAAAGGUUAGGUUAAGUUAUUGUCCUUUUUUUUUUUUUUUAGGGUUUCCUUAGAACAUGGCAGUUUUUUUUCUUAGUUUUAAUUUUCAAAAGCCUAUGUUUCACAUAUUUUUCCCCCAAGAAAUCCCUGGUUCCCCUUAGUCCCCAAGCUUGUUUGAGAGGUUGGGGAGGAAGGGCAGAGGAGAGGGAGAGUGAGUUAUUAUAAAGAAUUAUCUAAUAAAUAACCUAAUAGGUUACACAGUGCUACCAGAGGCCCACCACACACAAGGUAAGCAUCAGCCUACAUAACCUGGCCUUGUAUUAUAAACCAAGUGCCCAAAUUGGUCCUUUGAGCUGGAUCCUUGCUAAUAAACUAUGAUAUAUAAAUAUUUCUGCUUGCCCUCAAGUGCUUCUAAACCUGUUGAUGUUUGUCACUAAAGUGCACCACAGCAUGGCUGAGACUCAACAUCAAAACUCCCUAACUAUUGUAGUGAAGUACAUAGUGGUAUCAUGUGUGAGUUCACCCCUUCACUGGUGGGGAUCAAAGCCAUGUACCAGAAAGUGGCCAUUUUCAGUCAUGAUAACGUGUGAUAACGAAAAAAAUUUAUCUUGAUAACUGAUAAAUUGAUGAUGAUAACCUUACCGGCAAUAAGUGAUAACUGGCGAUAAAUGUAUUACCUGAUAACUGACGAAUCAAUAAAUUUAAAAUUCUGAUACUAGCUGUAACAAUAUUGAUAUUUAAAACAGAUAAAUUGAUAAAUCCAAAUCUUUAAUUUUAUCUUUAUCUCAGAAAAUUUAAAAAAAUCUUAGAAAACUUCAAAUUUAGUGUUUAUUUUGCCUCUUCACUAAUGAAAAGUACUCUUUUAAAUAAAAUAACUAUAUUUGAUUUUGAAAAAUUUAAAAUUUCAACAUGUUCAUGUUGCAAAAACUUAAAUUAUCAAUUAUUGCUAGUUUGUAACCAAAAGUAUCAGCAAUACCAAUGAAUCGAUAAUGUGGGAAAAAUAAUUAUUGGAUAACUGAUAACCUGAUAUCGUUAUUGCAAUAAAUUAUCACCAUAAUUUAUCAUGAUAAUGUCCGCCUAUGAUAACAUGGGUUGGCAACAGAGUGGUAGAUGCAAGACAUUAACAGCAUGCAUCAUUGAUAACUUGCUUGCCCUAACAAUAAUUUAAUUUAUUAUUUGUGUUGCCAUCCCCUAAAAUUUAAAAAUGGAGGAUUAGGAAAAAAUUUUAUGAAUCAGAGGAGGGCUCAAGGCAAACAUCAGUGCCCUAACCAAAGGAUCUUGAAACAUUUAUUAUUCAUGCCACUAGUAUGCAUGAAAUAAAGGCCAAACAAAUAACCAUAAAGAAUAUACUAGUAAAAAUUAACAACAGUAACACUGUAAAGCAAAUUUAAGGGAGAGAAAAAAACCUAGUCUGAUCAGUGUUUAUUAUCAUUUCAUGGGUGUUAAGUUUUAAUUUAACAACCAUGUAGUUCAGGAACAUCUCAAUUUUAUGCAAUAGUUUUGUACAUUUUUUUUAUCAGAAAUAUGGUAAUAUCAUAAGAAAAGUGAGAUAACAUUCUAAUUUAUUGUCUUUUCACAAACUCACCCAAAAUAUAUUGAAUUUCAAGUAUCUUAACCUAAUUAACACUAAAUUAUAGAUUCAGUAUAAAUCCUGACUGGGUAAAGAUCAAAUAAUGCUCAGAAUGCUUAGAUCAGGUUUAGAGUGUUUCUGAGCUCUGAUAAUGAUUAGCUGUUUAUUUUAAUGCCCCUAUUAGCUUUACAUACAUAUUUAUAAGAGAUUAAAAAUGGUAAUGUUUGCGUAGUUAUUAAUUAACAUUGACUUGUGACUAUUACCCUGUCCUUAAACCCUGUUAGCACAGGAUUCAUCAUCCUUGGUGAACCUGAGUUCGUUUUUUUGGCUACAUUUUAUCAGGUUCACAUGUGCUCAAGUGUUAAAAUUGGCACAAAUUUUAAAGUUAUUUUCUACCACUGUAUACCUUGUUUUAGUUAUUUAGUGUGAUAAGUAGGUUUAGUAUGCAUGUUGAUAAAAAACACUUAAUUAGGACCAACUAAUGAUCAUGAUCAGACUUGUGUACAAGGGAGAGAGAAGAGAAAAGACUAUCACAAGAUGAACUGUUCUGCUCAUGUGUUACCUCAGUAAUGAAGUACUCAACAUGCUAAUGAAAACUAACCCAGCAUCCAAUCUGUCUCUUUCAGCCUCUUGAUUCCUCUUCCUUUCGUUAAACAUUUUCAGGGAGAUAUAUGAAGGAAUGAUGGAAACACUUAUUGUAAUGCAAAAUUUAUUAAUUACAUACAGUAGGUAUAUACAUAAGCAGUUCAAACAUGCUAAUAAUAUCCACUUCAGACCUUAUGAGGAAUAAUUUUUUUGCACUCAUCUAAACAAACAGUUGGAUCAGUAUGACUUGUUGGCACAGCUUGUUUGACACCACUACAGUCCAUUGCAAUGUGCUUAAUCAAGGAGUUUAUUCUUGGCUUUGAGGUGAAGCUGACCAGAGCUGAGUAGACACUUAGACAUGAGAAGGUUUUACAUGUAGUUGCUUCUCCCUCCACUCCUGUCUUCCCUCCCUCACUCUUGCCUUCCUCCUGCCCUAUAUCCCUUUACACAUAACUACUACAUCAGGUAAAACCUUCCUCUUCUUAAUGUCUACUCAGUUCUUGCUAGCUUUGCUUACAAACCCAAGAGUAACCUUAAAAAGGCACACAUGCCAGUGUUGCAUUGAUUCAAUAAUUUGUCUAGAAGAUACCUGCAAAAAUAAAAUAAUGCCUUAGGGUUUGAAAUGGAUAGUAAUUGUACAAUGCUGCAAUCUAUUGAACUUUAAAAUCUGCUCCAGAUGUAAGAAAUUAAAAUCUGCUCCAGAUAUAAGAAAUUAUUUGUGACAAUUAAAACAUGCUAAAUGUACAGUGCUGCUGUCAGUCAAACUUGUUUUACAGACAAAAAAAUUUUUGAGAGGCUGUAGUUAGUGACUGGGUUGUAUACAUACUGUGGGGGAACAUACUGUGGAUCUGAGAGAGAGAGAGAGAGAGAGAGAGAGAGAGAGAGAGAGAGAGAGAGAGAGAGAGAGAGAGAGAGAGAGAGAGAGAGAGAGAGAGAGAGAGCAAGCAAA